rnacentral:rRNA from 1 species
UACGUAGGGACCGAGCGUUGUCCGGAAUCAUUGGGCGUAAAGAGCGUGUAGGCGGCCAUUUAAGUCCUGCGUGAAAUCCUGCGGCUCAACCGCAGGCGGUCGUGGGAAACUGGAUGGCUAGAGUGCGGGAGAGGAGAGUGGAAUUCCUGGUGUAGCGGUGGAAUGCGCAGAUAUCAGGAAGAACACCCGUGGCGAAGGCGGCUCUCUGGAACGCAACUGACGCUGAGACGCGAAAGCGUGGGGAG